rnacentral:rRNA from 1 species
UACGUAGGGUGCGAGCGUUAAUCGGAAUUACUGGGCGUAAAGCGUGCGCAGGCGGUUAUACAAGACAGAUGUGAAAUCCCCGGGCUCAACCUGGGAACUGCAUUUGUGACUGCAUGGCUGGAGUGCGGCAGAGGGGGAUGGAAUUCCGCGUGUAGCAGUGAAAUGCGUAGAUAUGCGGAGGAACACCGAUGGCGAAGGCAAUCCCCUGGGCCUGCACUGACGCUCAUGCACGAAAGCGUGGGGAGCAAACAGG